GCCUCUGGAGGCCCUAGGAGAGACUUCGUUUCUUGCCUCUUCCAGCUCCUGGCGGUUGCAGCUUUCAUCAUUCCAGUCUCUGCCUCUGUAAUGUCCCUCUGCCCCGCCCCUCUUCUUGUGGCAGGAUUUCCGGUCCAUCUGAGUAACCCAAAACCUUCUGAGAGGGUAUUCCCAGUUCCACUUGACAAUGUGAGGCUCAGAGUGGUUGAGUGACUUACUAAUACAGCACAGCCGGAAAGAGAUGAAACUAGACUUAGAUAAGGCUGUCUGACUCCAGAGCCCCCGUACUCCCAUGGAAACACACGAGGGCUGACUCAGUUGGACUACAGCUAACCAUGCACGGAAUUGGAUUCAACUGCUUCUCAAGUCCUCUCCAGCUGCGAUUGCGUGGGAAUGGGCCGGUGAGAUACUCCAUGAAACUAAUGGAAGAAACACUUCAAGGGCUUUGUCACCAAAACAUCUGGAGUUUGAAUCCUCGCUCUGCCUUAACCAGCUGUGUGACCUUGAAGAAGUCACUUACCAUCCCUGAGCCCGAUUUCUUCAUGGGUAACAUGGGGAUAAUUCACUUCUACAGAUUGCUGUGGGGGCCCAACUCCUGUUCCCAGCACAGAGAUGGGCAUACGAUUGGCUCACUGAAAUGGCAGCCUGGUCCCAGGGCUUUCAGCCGGGGGAGCCCGGGUCCUGCUCAAGCUUCCACCGAGGCCAGGAGCUGCCACCUCUCUCUCCCUCCCACCCAUCACAGUCACGCAUGGUGACUGCUAAGGCUCCGGAUCAUCCUGGAGCCCCUGAGGUUGCCCACUAAUCAGUCCUGGCAGAGAGAAUGGGGACCACCCACAGAGGCAGCUCUGCAUGGAUGGCGGCCACCUCGGUGGAUAUGAAACAUUCACCAAACAGUAGAGAGGAAAGGCUGGCAGCACUUGAAGCAGAGCGAGGCCACGUGGUGCUGAGGCCAUGCAAAUGAAUUCCGGCUCUGCGCCUGCGCCGCUGCCACUAGGAUCACAGUGGAGGGUGGUACCCUCAGCCUGCCCCAGGCCUAGAAGGGCCUCCCGGGCUGGGACCGGCCAGAUGUCCUCUCUGCAGCCGGACCCCGGCACUUGAAAGUUUCUUAAAAUAGAACCGAAAGGACUCCUGCUGACAGCACCAUGUUGUGGAGGGCUUUUCCCUGUCCUGCCCUGGUUCUGGUUCCCCUUGAUAGGACCACUUGGUAUCACUGACUGCUCUGAAGGAGGCUUGGGGUCUCCGAUGACACCUGCUGAGGACUCAGAGCUGAAGGAGGCUUGGAAGUGCUAAUGGAGCAGCUAGGGCAGGACGUGCUAGGGCUGUCCUGCUGUCCCCCGCCACCUGAGGACCUACGGUGUGGGGCCUGUUAGGAGCAGAAUCGUGUCCCUCCCCCAGUUCAUACACUGAAGGCUGAACCCUCAUUACCUCAGAAGGUGAUCCCACAGCUGUAAGCCCUCAUCCAGCCUGACCGCUGUCCCUCUAGGAGGGGAGGGGAGGACAUGGACCCUCCCAAAGGGAAGACUAUGCAGGGCCACCGUGGGUAGGCAGCCAGCUGCAAGCCACACGGUGAGGCCUCAGGAGAAGCCAGGCCUGGGGACUUCCUGCCUCCAGAGUAUGAAAAAAUAAAUUUCUGUACUUUAA
ensembl:lincRNA